GGCGGUAUGCUUAACACAUGCAAGUCGAACGAAAUCUUCGGAUUUAGUGGCGGACGGGUGAGUAACGCGUGAGAAUCUGGCUUCAGGUCUGGGACAACCACUGGAAACGGUGGCUAAUACCGGAUGUGCCGAGAGGUGAAAGGUUAACUGCCUGAAGAUGAGCUCGCGUCUGAUUAGCUAGUAGGUAGUGUAAUGGACUACCUAGGCGACGAUCAGUAGCUGGUCUGAGAGGACGAUCAGCCACACUGGGACUGAGACACGGCCCAGACUCCUACGGGAGGCAGCAGUGGGGAAUUUUCCGCAAUGGGCGAAAGCCUGACGGAGCAAUACCGCGUGAGGGAGGAAGGCUCUUGGGUCGUAAACCUCUUUUCUCAGGGAAGAACACAAUGACGGUACCUGAGGAAUAAGCAUCGGCUAACUCCGUGCCAGCAGCCGCGGUAAUACGGAGGAUGCAAGCGUUAUCCGGAAUGAUUGGGCGUAAAGCGUCCGCAGGUGGCUAUGUAAGUCUGCUGUUAAAGAGUCUAGCUCAACUAGAUAAAAGCAGUGGAAACUACAUGGCUAGAGUGCGUUCGGGGCAGAGGGAAUUCCUGGUGUAGCGGUGAAAUGCGUAGAGAUCAGGAAGAACACCGGUGGCGAAGGCGCUCUGCUAGGCCGCAACUGACACUGAGGGACGAAAGCUAGGGGAGCGAAUGGGAUUAGAUAC
rnacentral:rRNA from 1 species